UUUUAACACAUUCACUGCGUUACGGCAAGUAUUUGGCCGUAUUUGACUCUCAGCCAGUGCGGUAGCUCGCUGUCCUUGUUUUGCGUACUGUGCGGGGGCGAUUUAUCUAAGUUCCCUUGCGCGUAGGAAUGAGAUAGUGAUAUUUUCAAUAUUGUUGCUUUUAAUAUAAUAAUAUUGUACACUAACAAUAUACGGCAAAAUAGUUGCCGUAACGCACAGUAAAAUAAUUAUUUUCAUUCAGUGCGGUACGGCGAAUAUCUUGCCGUACCCCCCCAACCCCGCACCACACUGCAUGCGUCCGCGCGGCGGUUCAGUGUGCGCUAGUGCUGGCCGUAAGCAAAACCUAACAAUAUUUUUUGUGAAAAAUAUUACGCGGUUCUGCUACAAUGAGACGUUCACAUAAAAAAACUGGAUUUGAGUAGAGAGAGAGAGGGGAAAUCAUCAUCUUGAUGCCAAAGAUGUCAAGUUUAGUGGUUGUGGGUUCGAUUCCCACACAAAUCAAACAUUCUUUGUCUAGUUGUCUUGGUCUGGGUGUAUUUUCUAACUAUACUAUGCAUUAUAUGUAUUUGGGACUAGGUGGCGCUAUAGUGUGAUUGUGGUAGAAUAUAAAUACAUAUUUAUGUAUAUUAUAUAAUUAGGUUACAUAAUUAUGUUGAUUUAUAUAAUAAUAUAACACUGAUAAAUAUGAAUAUUUUAUCUACAAUAAAAAAUAUUUUUAAA